rnacentral:rRNA from 1 species
UACGUAGGGACCAAGCGUUGUUCGGAUUUACUGGGCGUAAAGGGCGCGUAGGCGGCGUGUUAAGUCAGCUGUGAAAUCUCCAAGCUUAACUUGGAACGGUCAGCUGAUACUGAUGUGCUAGAGUGCAGAAGGGGCAAUCGGAAUUCUUGGUGUAGCGGUGAAAUGCGUAGAUACCAAGAGGAACACCUGAGGUGAAGACGGGUUGCUGGGCUGACACUGACGCUGAGGCGCGAAAGCUAGGGUAGCAAACGGG